rnacentral:lncRNA from 1 species
UAGUCCAUGAGUCACUUCACAGUAGAGAUUGCAGUCUGUAUAAUCUUUGAAUAAAUCUGAGUUAGCCAGUGCAAUUGUUUUACCUCUGAAGUGUCACAACCAAUGGACAAGUAAUUGCUUCAAACACAAUUCCAGCGUAAACAUCUUGACCAAUUCCUCAGCAAAUUUCUCAUGUGAAGUGGUUGAAUAAAAUGUAAAUACUGGAAAUCCACCACCUUCUAAAACGAAUGCGUUUGUCAAUUCAUUCUUGGUGUAAUANGUAAAUGAUUGGUGUCAGAAUUUUUCACAUCUCAAUCUCAUCCGUAGUGUAAGAAUUAGGAAAUCCUCUUCCAACUCGU